AACUUUCGGCAAUGGAUCUCUUGGUUCUGGCAUCGAUGAAGAACGCAGCGAACUGCGAUAAGUAAUGCGAAUUGCAGAAUUCAGCGAGCCAUCGAAUCUUUGAACGCACAUUGCGCCCGCCAGCAUUCUGGCGGGCAUGCCUGUCCGAGCGUCAUUUCCUCCCUCACGCAGCACGCCUGCGUGGUGUUGGGGCGUUCUGCGGCCCGGCUUGCGCCUAGCGUAUGCCGCCGCAGCCCCCGAAAGCCAGUGGCGGGCCGGCAGCGGGCUCCGAGCGCAGUAAGCAGCAGUGCCCUCGCUUUGGACGCCCCCGCCUGCGCCCUGCCCCUAUUUUGGCAGACGUAAGUCUGCCUCCUUCUCAAGGUUGACCUCGGAUCAGGUAGGACUACCCGCUGAACUUAAGCAUAUCAAUAAGCGGAGGCU
rnacentral:misc_RNA from 1 species